AACAGCAGAAAAUUGAUUAAAUAUUACUCAUAGUAUCCUAAAAAUAGAGAGAUAGAGAGAGAGAGAUGGGAAGAUACAAUGACAGGAGCGGCGGCGGCGGCAGCAGGAGGAGGAGAAGUUACAGUCCUCGACGCUCACCACCACCACAACCACGCAGUCGCCGUUACGAUGACCAUCGCCAGCGGCAUCGCUCACCCCCUGCUCCUUCUGGACUCCUCGUUCGCAAUAUCUCUCUUGAUUCUAGGCCAGAAGAUCUUAGGAUCCCUUUUGAACGUUUUGGGCCGGUGAAGGAUGUCUAUCUUCCAAAGAACUAUUAUACUGGUGAGCCACGGGGCUUUGGUUUUGUAAAGUUCCGUAACCCUGAAGAUGCAUCAGAAGCUAAACAUCAGCUAAAUCAUUGUGUGCUUGGGGGGCAUGAGAUAACUAUUGUUUAUGCUGAAGAAAAUAGGAAGACUCCUCGUGAAAUGCGGACAACUACACAGACAAGUAGGCGUUAUGGCGGAAGCUCUGGUAGGCAGACCCCUCCUAGAUCAUCUAGGCGUCGGUCAUUUUCACGCUCUUUAUCACCGACCAGACAUGACUCCAGGGAUAGAGAUCAUAGAGGCAGGGAUCUGGUUUUGCCACCACGUUCAAGAUCUCCUUCAUUUUCUGCAUCACCUCAUGAUGCUAGAACAUACAAGACAAGACAUUACUCAAAUAGUCCUGGGAGAAAUGGUAAAGGUGCUGUAGACAAGAUGUAUCGUGGUUCAGAUCAGACAGUUCCUCACCAACGUUCUCAUGACAAACGAGCCACACAAGACUUGAAGGUAGCGGUUGCAAAUGAGGAUGAUGGGCAUUCAAGGUCCUUAUCUAGGUGACCUUGACCAGGUCCCCACCUUAUCAGCCAGCAAAUUGGCCCUUUCAGGCUAUGUUCUCCGUUCUAGUCUAUUAGACUUCAUUUUGUUUUGAGCUAUUGAGCCACCAAUUUUUUUCAUGCCUCUCCUGAUAUGUGCGUCCACCUGCGUCUGACGCCCCGCCAAAAAAAGAAGCUAGUAGCACUGCUGCGUCCAAGGCCCGCGUCCGAGGGGAUAAUGCUCUUGAAAGAAAGAUGUGACCAAAUUUUCCUGUUCAAUAGUUGUUUAAAUCCUUGUCUGGUCUUGUCUUUUGGUUUAAUUAAACUUUUUUAUGCCUUGGAGUUGUAAUAUUAUUACUUUAAUUUUUGGGAACAUUAACAGUUCACUUAUGCAGCAUUCUAAUUUGCUUCA